UUGGGUGAUUUCGACCCCAACUACAUGUCGGGGUUUGACGGUACCUCCGGAUCGGCUCCAACUCCACCAUCUGUGGAGGAGGUACCGGUUCAUACGGCUGUCGUUGAGGAGGUACCGGUUCAGGAGGCGACAGCUUCGGAAGGAUUUUCCGGAACCGCGAGCGGAAGUGUUUCGACACACACCGGCUCGAAGAGAUCGAGAACCUCCUGUGUGUGGCAAAGCUUCGACGAGAUAAAGGAAACAUGCCCCGACGGAAGGGAGGUAUCGAAAGCCCGUUGUAGAAUAUGUAGGCAAAUUUUAUCUGCUCGUUCUUCUGGUGGUACAGGUCACCUCAAGCGCCAUGCGGAGUCGUGUGCCAAGAAGCAAGGAAUACAACUCCGGCAGCAGCAACUUAUGCUAAACCCAGACGGUACGACUGGCAUGAAGAGGGUAGGUGACCACAUCGAUGCUGUUCGUCAAGCAAUCGCGUGGUUAACUGCUUCUAACCCGCGGAUUGCUGCAUGGAAGAGGUUUUGCAAUGCGGCCGGUGUGGAAGCUCUUUCAGGAAGUUCGCCAGCGGAGACCCCCUCCUAUCCCCACUACAGGUAAGAAGAAGAUACAGUGGGGUAGGAUUUGGGGUGGAUCGUCUUCAAGUUCAAUCCAAGGUGGUGGCAGUUCGUCGGCUACAAGUGGAGACGCCUCUUCGCAUGUUGUGGCCGAAGAGUUGUCCGGUUAUUUGGACAGCGACGCCAUCCACCACGAAGCACAAGAUUUCAACGUCCUCGGGUGGUGGAAUGACCACAAGAUAACAUAUCCUGUGCUUUCAAAACUAGCACGGGAUGUGUUGACGGUGCCCGUGUCGACGGUGUCCUCCGAAUCGGCCUUCAGUCUAUGCGGCCGAAUCAUCGAAGACCGGAGGACGACUCUGCGCAGCGACCACGUCGAAAUGCUACUAAGCGUUAAAGACUGGGAGCUUGCUCGACAACAUGCCCAAUACACUGC